GAAGUUUUACAUUAUCUAAUUUUAAAUAAUACUUAGAAUUCAUAGAUUCAUAGAAUUAGGACCAAAAAGAAUAUGUAAAAAUUAAACGCUGUGAACGAUACCCAAGAAUCAUUUAUCUGUGCUUCCUUUAGUGUGAUUCUGCUCGCUGCUUGGAAUGGUCUUUUGGUUGUCCCUCUGUCCUCUUCCCCUGAUAACAGAAUUCUAGUUCUAUUCUGGUAUCCACCUCUUCCACAGUGCCUUUGGUUGGUGAGACUCUGAUAGAUUUUACAUAAUUUACUGCACUCUCCUGUUUCCCUUUCCUGUAAUUGGUUUAGGCAAAGGCAUGUUAUAUAAGUGUAACUAAUGAGACAUGAGAGAGAGUCUGCCUUAAGACUGCAGAGAAUCAUUUGCUCAACAAUGGAAAAGGCCUUCCUUCAUGCUCGUGGACACCAUCACAAGGGAUAUAUUCUGCACAUAUGUCCCUUGUCAAAGGAAGCAGUUAAAAAUACCCCAUCCUGUAUCCUUACUGGGACCCCCGUGCCUGCACUGACACCUGUGGACUUUACCUAGACCAUCUCUUCCGGCAUUGUAGGUGGGAAGUUAUGAGAGUGGAUGGCAGAUAUAGAAGAACUGGAAAAUGAAAUGCUGAUUCUGAAUUUGGUGCACUGCCUCUGUGAUUGUACACCUUUUCUAUUGUGUUCUGCCAAUGUGGAGAGCUACAUUGAACAGUUAAUAUAAAAAUGUAACCUCGUGCUUUUGGAAUAAACCCAACCUUAUCAUAAAGGA